rnacentral:misc_RNA from 1 species
GUAAUGGCUGGCUUGAUUCAAGGUGCAUGUGUAGUUCUCUCUCCUGCCAAGUUUCAAAAGAACAAUGAAAGACGAAUUCAGUUAGAAACUGAUGCUAAUAAUGGACCACAACCGGUUUUUUUAUGCAAACUGAUGCUUGAGAAAAACUGUAUGAUGCGACCACCUAUCGCUAGGGUAGUGUAGGCAUGGAUUUUUUUUUCUUGGUAAUUAUAAUCCUAAUAAUAUUUGACAUAAGCUAUUGCAAACCCUAUUUUUUUGUCAUUUUCUUUUUCGUUUUUUUAUUCAUCACAAAUGAAGGGGUUUGAGAUGAAACUGAGAGGAAAGGGCAAUAAUAAUUGUUUCUUGGGUAGAACUGUAGAAGUCUUGAGAGAAUUCUUUUGAAAUGUUUUCAUCAGAGUGAGAUAUACAUAAUAGAUUAUAAAAUUAACUACAACAUUGGUGAUUACACUUUUCUAAACUCCCCUUCACUUUGUAUGAAGAAAGCCCUUCAUUGCCUCUUUGUCAAAUUCCAUGGCUUAUUCAAGUCAUAGUAAAAACCUGGGAGGUUGCCUUCUGUUCACUGUCUGAGGGGGCCGGCUUGUUUUCUUUUAAUUGUUCAACUUUAAUAGGGGGAGUAGAUAAAUUGUGGCAACUUUAAUUCGGACAAAUGUUUAAAUAAUUAUCUGUGAUGAUGCUGCAGCCUGCAGCCAUUAGUAUUAAUUUGAAAUGAAGUUUUGACUUUAUAUUCCUAGCGGCAAGCAGAUAGACUCUUGCUUGGAGAUUGUCGGCAGGUUCCUUGGUGUCACAUAGUAACUGUGACAUUUGAGGGACUGUUGAAACUUAAAAUAUACAAACAUGGAAUAACAAGCAGCAGAAUAUGGCAUUUCUCCCUUUCUCCUCCCUUUAUCAAGUUCAGUACUAUGUUUUCUCAAACCAACUAGGAAAUGCUUAUUUGAUUGACAGUUUCCUCUUGUAAAGAUAAUGAUUAGAUUGAACUUUGAGUAUUCUGAAUUUCCUCCAAAUUAGAGCUUGAGGUCAUGUUUUUGGCUUUUUAUUAUCUUCUUCUUUUCCC